rnacentral:rRNA from 1 species
AUGAACAUUCCAGAGGAUUUCGAUAACCGACCUUCAAAAAAAGCAAAAAUUUCUGAAUCAGGUGUUUUGGAGUCAUCACCAAUGUCACCAACUAUGUCAGCAUCUAAUCCAGUUUCUAAAUGUUUUGAAUCGAUUGUGCCUGAAUCAGAAAAUCAGAUAGAUCAUGAUCCAUUGCCAUCACCUUCUAGCUCGACAUUAACUCCUGUUUUAAUAUUACAUGAUGUCAAGGAACCAGAUCCAAAUAAAGGGAUCAAAGUUGAUGAGACAUAUGAUUAUCUCCCACAAGACUAUACAUUGACCGACCAUGAUCUAUGUGCUCAUAUAGCAAUAGAAUCAUCUUUGAGUAAACAAUUGCUCGUGGAGAUAGAUGGAAGUUGUGUCUUGCAAAAUCAAUUGAUGUGCCUGCUAAAUGAAAAGGAGUGGAUAAAUGAUGAUGUGAUCAAUGCAUAUAUAUGUUGUAUAAAGGACCAAAUACAUCUCCAGAAUGAUAAUAAAGUAUAUUUUGAGAGUCCAUUUGUUACCUCACUAUUUAAACGAGAUGGCGAACUUGGAAUACAAAAAGAUAGUGCCUUCAUGACAGAGACUGUCGUCGAAUAUAUGCAACAUGACAUGCAACACACAUUGGUAUUUAGCUGUUGUGAAUACAAAAAACGUGAGGUUCAAGUACUGGACUCAUUGUGCUGGGACUUUGACCGUGAUGAUCUCGCUCAUACGGUACGAGGAGUACAAUUUCAUUUGGACCUUCUUAAAAGUCAAAACUUGGUAAAAGACAAUUGGAAAGACGUUGAUCUCACUGAAUGGAAGAUCACAGAACAAUUACAAAAGGCAAUUCAAACAGACAGUUCUUCAUGUGGUUUGUUUAUGAUCAAAUUUAUGGAAUAUUUCACCGGAUGUGCACUAUCUUACCCAAUUACACAGGUAUAUAUCUUUUUAAAAUUAAAAAGUAUGUUAAUUUCCCAAAAAGUAUGUUAUUUUUUAAAUAAUUUACUAAUAAUUCUUUGUGUUGUACAGGAAAUGAUUACUUCAUUUAGGUUUAAGUUAGCCAGCAUACUAUUAUGUUGGAAAACAAACACUGCAGCAAGGACUACAAUCGUUGAAGAAAGUAACGAUGACACUAAUGGAGAUCCUGAUGAUGUUCAAAUAUUAGAAAGCCUAGAUGAUAUAAAAAUAUCAAAGAAAAAAAUCCCAUUAUCUGUUGAAAAUAAAUACAGAUCACUAAUAUCUAUUCUUUCUAAUAUGAGUGUACAUGAAUUAACAGCUGGACUCUGUAGCUUCAUUAAAUCAAUCAAUUACACUGAGAUUUUAGAGUAA